rnacentral:rRNA from 1 species
CCCUUAGAUGUCCGGGGCUGCACGCGCGCUACACUGAAGGAAUCAGCGUGCUAAAACCAUUGUCGAAAGGCAUUGGUAAACCCAUUAAAAUCCUACGUGAUUGGGAUCGGGAAUUGCAAUUAUUUCCCUUGAACGAGGAAUUCCCAGUAAGUGUGGGUCAUAAGCUCGCGUUGAUUACGUCCCUGCCCUUUGUACACACCGCCCGUCGCUGCCCGGGACUGAGCCGUUUUGAGAAAAGCGGGGACUGCUGCUGUCGGGGCUUUCGGGCCUUGGCUUCGGUGGAAACCGCUUUAAUCGCAGUGGCUUGAACCGGGCAAAAGUCGUAACA